UGGGGAAUUUUGGACAAUGGGCGCAAGCCUGAUCCAGCCAUGCCGCGUGCAGGAUGAAGGCCUUCGGGUUGUAAACUGCUUUUGUACGGAACGAAAAGACUCUGGUUAAUACCUGGGGUCCAUGACGGUACCGUAAGAAUAAGCACCGGCUAACUACGUGCCAGCAGCCGCGGUAAUACGUAGGGUGCGAGCGUUAAUCGGAAUUACUGGGCGUAAAGCGUGCGCAGGCGGUUAUGUAAGACAGAUGUGAAAUCCCCGGGCUCAACCUGGGAACUGCAUUUGUGACUGCAUAGCUAGAGUACGGCAGAGGGGGAUGGAAUUCCGCGUGUAGCAGUGAAAUGCGUAGAUAUGCGGAGGGACACCGAUGGCGAAGGCAAUCCCCUGGGCCUGUACUGACGCUCAUGCACGAAAGCGUGGGGAGCAAACA
rnacentral:rRNA from 1 species